CAGUAACUCUCGGACAGAGUCAAGAUUGCCAGAUGCAGCGGCAAGGUGAAGCGGGUGGCGGCCUUCCCCGUCAAGCAACUCCAUGGAGUCUGGGCAGAAAUCGAGUAUGGCUCUUAUGUUUUCAAUUGAACUGGAUCUAUCAUCGAGGAAGACGAUUGGCACUGCUAAGGCGUAUGAAGGAUUCUACUACUUUGAGGAGGCAUGCUUGAGUAAACAAUAUAAUACUAUAAUUUGUGAUUCUAUAUCUAUCUCUAGAAAGAAUGAACUUUUGUUAUGGCAUUCUAGGAUGUGUCACCCAAAUCUUCAAUAUUUAGAACGUUUCAGCUUCCUCAUCAUUCAUCUCUCUGGUUUUAAUUUUUUUUCCUCUGCAAUCUUUCUGCUUUCAUGAAAUUGUGUCAGAUUGCAUUCAUGAAAUGGUAUCAGGGAUAGCAGAUUGCAAAUUGUAAAAUCUUGUGUUUCUUCUUUCUUGAAGAAAACACAUUCAGCUUUUCAAUUCUCUUUCUUUCUCGUGUUUCUUUUUCCAUGCCUUCCUUUACUUCAUCCUCUGAAAAUGAUUCAUCUAAUCCUUAUUUUAUGCAUCAUGGUGAAAACCUUGGUUCACUUCUAGUUUCUUAGCAAUUGAUUGGAUAUGAUGAUUAUCCCAGUUGGAGGCGUGCCAUAAUAUUGGCUUUAUCAGCCAAAAACAAAUAUGGUUUUAUAAAUGGUACGAUAUCCAAGCCUAAGGAUGAAGAUCCUUUGUCUGCAGCUUGAUCAAAAUGUAAUGCAAUGAUUCUUUCAUGGCUCUUGCAUGAUGUUUCCAGAGAAAUUGCGUCAAGUGUUCUUUACCAUGCGAUUAUGUGCUGCAAUUUCUUAUGGGGUUAAAUGAUACAUAUUCACAAAUUCAUGGACAAAUAUUGUUAAGUGAUCCACUGCCUUCAAUCAGCAAGGUGUAUGCACUAAUUGUUCAGGAAGAGCGUCAACGAGCUGUUGCAGGGCAUGUGCCUUCCAUUGAAUCUGCAGCAAUGUUGAGUAAGACUUAUUCUUCAAAUGCACAUCAGCAAAGAUAUCAGAAAAAUAACAAGCAGAAGGGGCCAUGUUCUCAUUGUGGUCAUGAGAAUCACACAGCUGACAAAUGUUAUAAACUACAUGGUUACCCUCCCGAGUAGAUAUACUACUUCUGCUCAUCAAGUCAUUGCUGAUAAAGAUUUAGUUAGUGCAGUAAAUUCUUAUCCUUUUACUCCAGAGCAAUGUGAGCAGCUUCUAAGUCUCCUCAAGGCUCCUAACUCUUCAUCUUCGUCAUCUACCUUUGCUGUAAAUAACAACACCACAUAUUCCAUGUCAGGUAUUAGGUCCUUGCCUAGUAUCUUUUCUGUUUUUCAGUCUGAUAAAAUCAGCCCUUGGAUCAUUGAUAUGGGGGCCACUGAUCACAUCAUACAUUUGGCAUCUAUGUUUUAUACUUACUCUCGUAUUACAUCUAAAGUUCAACUUCCAAACGGACAAAAGGUUGAGUCCACUCAUAUUGGUACUGUUAAGCUUUCUAAUGAUUUAUGCUUAACUGAUGUGUUGUGUGUCCCUGCAUUUAAUUUCAAUCUUCUUUUAAUUAGCAAAUUGACUUCCAACUCACACUUAUGGCUGUAUUUUACUCCUUCACACUGUUAUAUACAAGACCUUGUGAGCAAGAAGAUAAUUGGAGUGGGCAAAGCAACUAAAGGACUUUAUUACUUGCUGUUACCUGGAUCUAAGGACCUUCCGGAAUCAAAAUCUGCUAUAGCUACUUCUUUUUUCAUAUUCAGUUCAUUGUAUGAAUUUUGAUUUGUCUGAAAAAGAUCUUUGGCAUUGUCGCUUGGGACACCCUUCUGGUUCAAAACUAUCUUUGUUACAUAAUGACAUUCCAAGCAUAAAUAAAGGUAGUCUUCAUAUCUGUCACAUAUGCCCAUUAGCAAAACAACACAAGUUAUCAUUCAAACCAAGUUCAAUCCAUACAACAAAACCUUUUUAAAUGAUACACUGUGAUAUUUGGGGUCCUUUUUCCACGUGUAAUGGAUGGUUCUCGAUAUUUUUUUACUAUUAUAGAUGAUUACACUCGAAGUACAUGGUCAUUCCUUAUGGCACAAAAAUCUCAGACACGGUCCAUUCUACAGUAUUUUGUUCAAUUAAUUUCCACUCAAUUUGAAACCACAAUCAAAGUAUUAAGAUCAGAUAAUGGUUCUAAAUUUAAUAUGAAAGAGUUUUUCCAAUCAAAAGGAAUUAUUCAUCAUUUGAGUUGUGUGGAAACGCCUCAGCAAAAUGCUGUCGUUGAACGAAAACACCAGCACCUAUUAAAUGUAGCUCGAGCCUCAAUGUUUCAAGCUUCCUACCCUUAAAAUUUUGGGGGGAUUGUAUCCUUACAGCCAUAUAUUUGAUUAAUAGAACACCAUCUUCAGUUUUAAAAGGCAAGUCACCAUAUGAGAUGUUAUUUGGAAAGCCACCCUUAUAUGAUCAAUUACAUAUUCUUGGCUGUUUUUGUUAUGCCUCAACACUUAGUCAAAACAGAUCAAAGUUUGAUCCUCGAGCAAAGGCAUGUAUUUUUAUUGGCUAUCCUCAUGGCAUUAAGGGUUACAACUUAUAUGACUUGCAUUCAAAGACAAUUUUUGUAUCUCGUAAUGUGGUUUUUCAUGAAACCAUCUUUCCCCUUGUUUCCAAUAAACAGGCUCACACAGACACACCUCUUACUCCAAUAAUCCCAAAUCCUAUGCCUGAGUACGAAUGUCAUGAUAACAUCUUUAAUGGUCAAAACUCGCAGAAUCAUCCACAAGCACAAUCAAGUCCUUUUCCUACAGAUUCUAUUACUCCAUCUUCAAUUUUCCUACCAUAUAUACAAUUCCUAUUUCAGUUUCUACAGAGCCAGAUACACAUCACAAUGAGUCACCCUCAGUAGACAACACCCUUUCCGAUCCUACAGACCACUCACUACCACCUGUCAACAUUCCUUUCAUUCCACGAAGGUCUACUAGACAUAGGAAACAUGCCAGUUAUUUAAAGGACUUUCAUUGUAAUGCUGCAGACCACUUCAAGGAUGAAUCUUGCUCAUCAGGUACACUGUAUCCCUUUUCUUCAGUUCUAUCUUAUCAUCGUUUGUCUUCAUCUCACAAAUGUUUUACACUAGCAUUAUCCAUGCAUCACCAGCCUCGUAGUUUUCAAGAAGCUUCUAAAGUCGCACAUUGAUGUGAUGCCAUGAAUGUUGAAAUUAGGGCACUUAAGGAAAAUAAAACCUGGACUCUCACUAAUCUACCGACAGAAAAGACUCCCGUAGGAUGCAAGUGGGUUAUAAAGUGAAACAUAAGGCUGAUGGAAGCAUUGAGCGAUAUAAGGCUAGUCUGGUUGCAAAGGGUUUUAGUGUUUUACGCAAUGUGAGGGGAUUGACUAUCAAGAGACUUUUUCACCUAUUGUGAAGAUGAGCACAGUGAGAUCAAUAUUAGCUCUGGCAGCUAUUCAUAACUGGUAUUUACAUCAACUAGAUGUAAAUAAUGCCUUUUUACAUGGGGACCUUGAAGAAGAAGUAUACAUGACCAUUCCUCCAGGUUAUCAUACUUCAUCAUAAUCACAAGUUUUGCGUUUAAAUAAUUCUCUUUAUGGUUUAAAACAGGCCUCGAGAAAACGGUUCUCCAAGCUCUCCAAUACUCUGAUUUCUGAUGGAUUUAUUCAGUCUGAAGCAGAUAAAUCUAUGUUCAUCAAGAAGACUAGAACUUUUUUAUUGCUCUAUUGGUUUACGUGGAUGAUAUCGUGCUUGUUUCUAAUGCUGCAUCACCAAUUCCAGAAUUUACAUCAUUCUUAAAUACUAAGUUCAAAUUAAAGGGCUUAGGUCCUCUAAAAUAUUUUCUUGGCUUGGAAAUCUCUCAAGCAAAACAAGGUAUUUCAGUGUGCCAACGAAAAUAUGCACUUGAUUUGUUAGAAGUUGCUGGAAUGUUAGCAGCUAAGCCAGCAAACUUUCCAAUGGAUCCCCAUUUAAAACUCUCUCAGUAUGAAGGUGAUUUAUUGACUGAUGUUACACAUUAUAGGAGAUUAAUUGGUCGAUUACUUUAUCUCACAGUUACAAGGCCUGAUAUCUCUUACUCAGUACAAGUUGUCAGCCAAUUCUUGAAUGAACCAAGAAAACCACAUCUUGAUGCUGCUAUAAGUGUUUCGAGAUACAUUAAAGGUGCAUCAUCACAAGGAUUGUUCUACUCCAAUUCUUCUUUAACACAUCUGAAAUUUUUUUCAGACUCUGAUUGGGCAGGUUGUGUUGACACUAGACGUUUAGUAACAGGGAUUUGUGUUUUCAUUGGUGAUUCUCUUGUGGCUUGGAAAUCUAAGAAACAGACCGUCAUUUCUCAUUCCUCUGCAGAAUCAGAAUGCAGCGCUAUGGGAUACAGCAGGUUCAGAAAUCGUUUGGAUGCUUUAACUAUUCCGUGAACUUGACAUUCCUCAUCCACAUUGCUGCUAACCUAGUAUAUCAUGAGCGAACAAAACAUAUCGAGGUGGAUUGUCAUUUUAUUCGGCAACUUAUUCAACAAGGUGUCAUCAAAAGUAUGCUUGUCAAAACAGAAUGUCAACUGGCUGGUAUCUUUACAAAGGCACUGGGUUCUCAAGCUUUCAGCAGUAUUUUGUCCAAGAUGGGUAUUCAUAAUAUUCAUACUCCAUCUUGAGGGGGCAUGUAAAAAUAUAAGUAUUCUUUUCUGUUAUCUGCUGCUGCUGCUACUCCAACUUUUUUUCUGUUGUUUCUUUUGUUCAGUUAUUUAGUUGUUUAGUUAUUCAAUUGAUCUGUUAUUCAGUUGUAUGUGUAUAUAUAUAUCCCUAUGAGUACAACAGGCUAAAUAAGAAAAAGAGAAGCAUUCUCGCAGCUCUCUGUUUUCAA